GGCACAAUUAAUUAGAAUAAAAAGUAAGGAGUUCAAACAAGUCAAAAAUCCAAACUAAGGAUUUAAAAGGUAAUUUGCCAUUGAUACCCAAUCAUGGGUUGACACAUGGCAAAGAAAACUUCCUUGUGAAGCUUGGAGGCUGAAAAUUCUGCUCCCUUCAUUUUGGCUGAAUCUAUCUAAAAAAAAAGCAAUUUUUUCAUCUUCUCUUUCUUUCAAUCAAACUCCACUAAACCAUCUUCUUGCCCUAACUCUAACCAUCUUCAUCUUUCAACAAAAACCAUCAUUUCCACCAUGAAACUAACAAGCUCAGCCCCCAAAUUAACAUUCUAGUAUAUGUUUGCUCAAAAGAAAGAAAAAGGGGGAAAGAAAAGAAGAGGACACAGAAGAGAUGAAAGGAGCAGGAGAAUAUGAAGCAACUGAUGGCUCUCGCAUUUCAGUUUAAUAGGUUGCUCAAACUCAAAAAGAUAUAUAGUUGAUCAGUGUCUGAAUUGCUUGAUUUCCCGGAAACUCUCUCGUGAGAGCAAAAGGAAGAAGGUUUUAAAAAGUAAACGCCAAAGUCUCCGAUUGCAUCAGGUGUCUCUUUGGAAUGGCCUGCGGAUAGUGAUAUCUGUAGAAUGAACUGUCAUCCUACGACCUCUAGUUUUGCAUCUCAAGUAGCACCAUUUAGCAUGGAUUUUCUAGAUGAUUCUCCUCAAUUUGAUGCUGAAGAAGAAGCGCUUAAGACAUUAGUUAUCAGGAAGAAAUCAGGCUUAUCUUUCUUAGUUCAUGAUGAUGAGGUGGUUCAAAUCUUCCUCAAGCAAAUUCGUGAGGAGUUGGAGACAUUCAAGGGAAUUAGGUUAGUCUAUUUUUGGGGUUCUGCAGAUUUUUUCUUGUUAUGUCCUGUUUCUUUGCUAUAUGUCUUUAGCUACUUUGGUUUCAACUUCCCUAGUUGUUAUCGCAUUCUGCCUAUCAUCUUCACUUUUUAGUGUGCCUUGUGCCUUGUGGGUUAUCUUGUUUCUGAGUUUAAACCUGUGUGUUUUGAGCCCUCUUUUUCGAUCUAUUUUUUUUGGGUUGUACCUUUAUACUACUCUUUUUGU
rnacentral:misc_RNA from 1 species